AACGAACGCUGGCGGCAUGCCUAACACAUGCAAGUCGAACGGGAUCCGGACUUCGGUCCGGUGAGAGUGGCGGACGGGUGAGUAACACGUGGGAACCUGCCCAUUGGUCUGGGAUAACCGCGGGAAACUGCGGCUAAUACCGGAUGUACCCGUGAGGGGAAAGAUUUAUCGCCGAUGGAGGGGCCCGCGUCCGAUUAGGUAGUUGGUGGGGUAAUGGCCUACCAAGCUAACGAUCGGUAGCUGGUCUGAGAGGAUGAUCAGCCACACUGGGACUGAGAUACGGCCCAGACUCCUACGGGAGGCAGCAGUGGGGAAUAUUGGACAAUGGGGGCAACCCUGAUCCAGCAAUGCCGCGUGAGUGAUGAAGGCCUUAGGGUUGUAAAGCUCUUUUGCCAGGGAAGAUGAUGACGGUACCUGGAGAAUAAGCCCCGGCUAACUUCGUGCCAGCAGCCGCGGUAAUACGAAGGGGGCUAGCGUUGUUCGGAAUUACUGGGCGUAAAGGGCGCGUAGGCGGCCGUUUAAGGUU
rnacentral:rRNA from 1 species